rnacentral:rRNA from 1 species
UACAGAGGGGGCAAGCGUUGUUCGGAAUUACUGGGCGUAAAGGGCGCGUAGGCGGCCUGCUAAGUCGAACGUGAAAUCCCUGGGCUCAACCCAGGAACUGCGUCCGAUACUGGUUGGCUUGAAUCCGGGAGAGGGAUGUGGAAUUCCAGGUGUAGCGGUGAAAUGCGUAGAUAUCUGGAGGAACACCAAUGGCGAAGGCAGCUCGCUGGGACGUGACUGACGCUGAGACGCGAAAGCGUGGGGAGCAAACAGG